rnacentral:rRNA from 1 species
GAGUUUGAUUAUGGCUCAGCGCGAACGUUGGCGGCGUGCCUAACACAUGCAAGUCGUGGGGCAGCAGGCUACUGUCUUUUGGCAGUAGUGCUGGCGACCGGCAAACGGGUGAUAACACGUAGCUUACCUACCCAUAGGUUGGGGAUAACAUCCCGAAAGGAGUGCUAAUACCCAAUAAUGAGGAGACUCCAAAGCCCUUAUGGGUGCCUAUGGAUGGGGCUGCGUCCCAUCAGCUUGUUGGUGAGGUAAUGGCUCACCAAGGCUACGACGGGUAACCGGUCUGAGAGGAUGACCGGUCACAGUGGGACUGAGACACGGCCCGCACCCCUACGGGGGGCAGCAGUGGGGAAUAUUGGGCAAUGGCUGAAAGGCUGACCCAGCAACGCCGCGUGGUGGAUGAAGCCCUUCGGGGUGUAAACACCUUUUCUGGGGGAAGAUAAUGACGGUACCCCAGGAAUAAGGGACGGCUAACUACGUGCCAGCAGCCGCGGUAAUACGU